rnacentral:rRNA from 1 species
GACGAACGCUGGCGGCGUGCUUAACACAUGCAAGUCGAACGGUAAGGCCCUUCGGGGUACACGAGUGGCGAACGGGUGAGUAACACGUGGGUGAUCUGCCCUGCACUUCGGGAUAAGCCUGGGAAACUGGGUCUAAUACCGGAUAGGACCACUGCCUGCAUGGGUGGUGGUGGAAAGCUUUUGCGGUGUUGGGAUGGGCCCGCGGCCUAUCAGCUUGUUGGUGGGGUGAUGGCCUACCAAGGCGACGACGGGUAGCCGGCCUGAGAGGGUGUCCGGCCACGCUGGGACUGAGAUACGGCCCAGACUCCUACGGGAGGCAGCAGUGGGGAAUAUUGCACAAUGGGCGCAAGCCUGAUGCAGCGACGCCGCGUGAGGGAUGACGACCUUCGGGUUGUAAACCUCCUUCACCAGGGACGAAGCGCAAGUGACGGUACCUGGAGAAGAAGCACCGGCCAACUACGUGCCAGCCGCCGCAGUAA